rnacentral:rRNA from 1 species
AUGGCGCCCGCGUCCUCCUCCUGGGUCAUCCUGGGCCGCGUGCCACGGGUGACGGCGGCCGACGCAGACCUCCCUCCGGGCGCCGACCUUUCCCUCGCUCUGCCGGCGCCCCCGCGCGUUGCGACCCUCACCAUCCCCCCGCGCAUCUUCCCUGCCCGCACCACCUCCGACAACUUCCCGGCCGUCGUCGCCGUCGACCCCACCGGCCUCCUCCUCCUCCACGCCGACCAGGGCCGCGCCACGGGCCCCACCAUCGUCGACACAGCCGGCAACCAGUCGUUCGGCUGGCGCCCAUUCGUCGCGGGCUACUUCGUCCUUGACGCUACAACCGCCUCCGCCCUUCCGCUCCCAAAGCCCGAGCUCAUCCUGCACUCGGGCCACCUCGGCCUCAUCUCCUCCCCGCGGGGUGGCGGCCACUACAUGGUCGUUGAGCUCCAGCCCAUCCUCGGCGGUCAGGAGGGCACCCUCCUACGCUUCUCGUCCGACGUCGGAGAGUGGGUCAGCAAGGGCAUCCACAUCCCGCUUCCUUUCCGGCAGUUGGCCCCCAACGGUGCGGUCUCGUACUACGGGAGGCUCUGGUGGGUCGACCUCUCCUGGUGCCUCCUCACCUGCGACCCCUUCGAGGACGCGCCGGUGCUGAGGGUCGUCCCGCUACCGCCGGGCAAGGUGCUCAAGUGCAGGGAGGGUUGGGGAUUUCUCGACAAGUACCGCUGCGUGCGUGUCAGCGGCGGCAAGCUGCGGUUCCUGGACAUGUACCGGAACCGUAACAGCCAGGGCGCUGCACAGAUCAGCGUCUGGACGCUCGCCGAUCCGGAGUCCACGGAGUGGACGCUGGAGUACGAGGCCACCUUUGCGGAGAUCUGCAACGACGCGAGCUACAAGGCGACUGGUCUGCCAAAGAAGAUCCCGGUGCUUGGGCUCAUCCAUCCCAUCAACCCUGACGUGGUCUACUUCUUCCUCGACAAGCAUCUGCUCGGUAUCGACAUGCGCGCUCGCAAGGUUGUGGAGUGUGAGGUCUACGAGCUGGUUGCCCCGCCUAGCGAGCACUUGGCUACCCGCUUCGUUCACGCUUGGCAGCUGCCACGGGCUCUCAGCUGCUCAGGUUGA